GCUGAAGCAACUGUUGUGUUGCUCUUGCAGUAUGUAACGUUGGAUUGUUGUAUUGUCUUGCAUCAAAAGCAUAUCCCUACUGCCAUGGAUAUGAGGAAUUGCAAUCGGAUGAAGGACGAUAUUUUGGUAAGCAUGUUCAUGUAACUAUCAAAAUUCAGUGGCCACGGUUUGUCACAGAUUUUGAUGAAACUUUGUGUGUAACGAUAUUAUGAUAGAUAUAAAACAAAAAGGACAUCCAAAGGUUUGACUUAGCAACGGUUGCCAUGGAAACCGAUCCUCUAACAACAGCUGGACAAGAUAUGUACAUGUAUGUUAUAUUUUGAAUAAUUAAAAAUUAAUCGCUAUUGUUUAUAAAAACAACAAUGGUCAAACUUAUUUUGAGCUAGGUUUUAGCUUUUAGAAAUUUUUUUGUAUUUAUUUAAUCCUUGAAAACAAUAGAAAUAAUUAUUUUUAUGAUGUAUAAGGGUUUGAUAUAUGUAAUUUUUAGAGAGGGAUAAAAUAUAUUUGCCCAGUCAUUUGGUGUACACUCACAUGCUAGUAAAAUGUACUGAAUCUGACUUUAAAAAAGUACAGAAACACAUUUGUGGAGAAACGAAAGAUAAACACAUAAACCAGUACUUUCCUCUGGUGCACAAACCAAAAUACACCAGAAAGAGUUAUUGCCCUUUGUAACUCUCUCUUGUAUUGGAGAUAUGAACAGCCUUCAUUUGUUGAGUUUUUAUUCUUCAGAAGUUUAUCAAUAUCAGAUGCUCUUUGUUCACUUUAUUCACUACCACGAUCUUUAUCUUCAAUUGUGCUAAAGGAUUCCGGUUUAUUUCGUGGAAUUCAAAUCCGUUUGAUCUUUGCCAUAGUCACCAGACUCUAGCAUCCAAUCGUCUACGUAUUCGUAGAAAAAGUAAAUGUUGUAGAAUUUGACGCUUUAUUGCAUCACAUCCGACUAAAAAAAUGACCAGGGAAACAGAAGGCUGACAGACAUAUUCAUAGAAAAUAUGAAAAAGUCCUGCCUGUUGCCGUGUUGGAACUUGCAUUGACCUGUAUGAGCAUCAUACUGUGCAAAUCACCUAAAGAUGGAGUUGACCAAGUUGAUGACUUUGAGGAGAACCUGAAGAGCAGAAGAUGCAUUCCAUGACUCUUAUAUGAUAUAGAAGGCAAAGGAGAGCUCUUGAGAAUGGAAAAAAAACCUGCGAGUUUUACAGUCAUUGAACACACCUCACGACAGAAGUCCAUCCUGAUUCAGUAAACUGGUAGUCUAUUCUUCUAAGGACACACCAUGACUUAAUUAAGAUCAAGUUUUGGUGUCAGAAGACUAAUGUAACUAAAACAUUGCAAAAUUAACCUGCAAGUGUCUUAUGUGAGCCUACUGAAUAAGGAUUCAUUACUGAACAGUUGAAGGAAAAUCACUAUAACGAUUUUUUUAAAAAGAUGAUUGUGUUGUUUGGAUAACAUUUAGCUGCAAUAAUGUAGCCCUCUCUGAUUUUUUUUUUUUUUUUUUUUUGUAGGGAGAGGGCUACAACUCCUUAGGAUCUCCGUAAUGGUGCAAAUGCGGGAGUGAUUCAUUUGCGCUCAUUCUAAACAUUUCCUGACUUUCUUUACGUAAAUAAAAUGAUAUUCUAUGUUUCUUAGUCAAUAUAUAAAUUUACAACCUGCAACUUAAGAUUUGUGAGGCUCUAUUCUACCGUUUUCAACAAUUUCGAUAAAUUCCAAUUUCUCGAUUCAUAUUUGUGCGCCAUGUUUGAUGUACUGAAGUUUCAACUUCCGAUUGUCAAGUCAUUUGCAUAUGCCAUAUAAGGUAGUAUUUACAUCAAUGGACAAGUAUGGAGGCGAAAGCUAUUUCGUCGGUAUUGAAAAGGUUUGAAUUUAAUAUCAAGUUAAAAACCGAACAGCAGAGUGUAAAUUCUUUCUGCAACAAUAUGAUUUUCCUUUCUUUGUCGAAGUGGCUCGAGUAACUACAUUUUCGCGCUGAUUGUCAAUUUAGGUUUUUCAUUAGAUCCACCUACGAGAUCUCGCGAUAACAAGCAUGGCGGAGCAGACGAAGAAUUUUGCAUGCUGUACAUUAUAUUUAAUGAAAAACACCUUUAUUAGACAUGCCCGAGCACAAAGUUGGUACUUCUUUUGGUGUAAACAACAUUUGGGACUAAUACACAGAGUUUAUUAUCGGUUAUUCAUAAAAUUAUUUUGCACCAUUACGGAGAUCCUAUGGAAUACGGGACUUUCGAGAUACGGAUCCACUCUGACUUUUAUCGCGCGUUGAACGUAAUUGUAUAGUCUAGGUCACCUACACGUUUGUCAAUGCAGUGUUUUGAGUGGGAAGUCAAACGGCUUGCGUGACCUAGGCUAGUAAUUGUAGGGCAUGUCACUUCCGGAUUACAAUAACAACAAAGUAAACAAACAUGGAAUAUUUCAAUUGCUAUCAAUUUCCUGCAUUUAAAUGCUAUCUUUGAAAGAAAGGAAUCACUACAACCAUUUUAUAGGAAAAUACAAUUGAUUAAAUUAUGCGAGUCGGCGCGGGAAAUAAAUCUAGGGAAUAUCUUGAGGAUAUCGGUAAAACUUCACGCCUUGCAUCCAAUGGUACGCGUCUAAAUGCGCCUUUUCCCUUCCAUCUAAUUUACACCCAGGUACUAAGCACCAAUAAUGACUUGGAUCGUCAUCGUGGGACUGCGCAUAGCUCUUUACGGACCGUCUGUUAGCGAAACACCAUAUGUAUCGAUAUCAACUUUGCCCUACAAUUGGUUAUUAUCACGUGACCGUGGUGUAUAAACGUCAAAUAAUAUGUAUACGGUGUGACCGUUGGACCGAGCGAAGCAUGUAAUGGUCAUUGGAGUGUCCCAAGUGGUAAUCAUAAUUCCGUUAAGUAUGGCAGGUUAUGAUUCAUUUAAAAAUAUAUAUUUUUAAUGAAAUUUUCCUUGCGCUAAAAACCCAGUAACAUCUCAAUAUUAAAGGUGUUUAUAUGGGGACAACAGCUUUACAGGAUCCGCCUAUUCAUUGAACGCGGGAAAUAAAACACAGGGCGACGUAAACUGUGUAUUGUGACGUCAUAUUUAGCCUCAACCUUUUACAAAGCAAACAAUUAUAAACAACAAUAAUACAUUCCGUAUACAAUGAAAAAGGCCGUUAUAAAACUAAACAAAAUUAACCAAUAAAUUCAAAAUGGUAAAAAUGUAACCGUAAUGUUAUCGUUUAUUAUUAUUUUAAGAAACUCAUGAACUCGUUCAUCUAUUUAGUCGUAUUACGGUUUUAUAUGUAAUUAUAUGCUAAAACCUGUUACAAUGAAAAUUAUACUAUUCACUUUGAACAAACAGAGUGUUUAAAUUACGAAUUGCACGUCAGAGUCGUCUAUUAUUUGCAUUCAUAAUAAAACACGAAUAACUGUUGAAGCAGGUGAUGAAAAAAUAAAUGGCGGCGCCCAUAUGGAUCACGAAAAAUUCAGUGAACGUAUAUAGAGAUUGCCUCUUUUUCUUUUGCUGAUUUUGACUUUUUUCUUUUACAUACGUGUUACCUUUAGAGCCUUGCUUCGCGGACGGGCCUUCGGCCCGUCCGAGCUUCGCUCGGUAUAAUCGGUCGUUCCGGCAUAUCCCGAAAGUUCCGUAUUGUAGCCCUAUCCCGAAAACGUCAGAAUAAAAAAAAAAUUGGAUAGGGCUACAUUAUUGCAGCUAGAUAACAUUGUGAUCCAUGUUUGUUGAAUAAACAACUUUGCAAAAAUGAGUUCUUCUGUGUUAAUAUUAUAAAUUUACUAAUUACUGGUAUGUCAACAUAGAUUACAGUAACACUGAACAAACUUCAAUAAAUUUUAAAGUUUCAUGCAGUUUCUGCAGUAGAAAAUGACACCUAUUGAUUUUCUGGUCCAAAGGUCACCAGGUGCAAUACAAUACUCUGUACAAUUGAUGUCUGACCAGUUUCUU